GACCACUACGAUGGCCUAGUGGUUAGAGUGUCCGCUUUGGAUGCGGGAGGUCGUGGGUUCGAUUCCCGGUUGAGUCA